rnacentral:rRNA from 1 species
UAGCCGUAAACGAUACUCGCUAGGUGUCGGCCACGGUGCGACCGUUGUCGGUGCCGUAGGGAAGCCGUGAAGCGAGCCACCUGGGAAGUACGGCCGCAAGGCUGAAACUUAAAGGAAUUGGCGGGGGAGCACAACAACGGGUGGAGCUUGCGGUUUAAUUGGAUUCAACGCCGGAAAUCUUACCGGGACGACAGCAACAUGAAGGCCAAGCUGAAGACUUUGCCGGAUUAGCUGAGAGGAGGUGCAUGGCGUAGUCGUGU